rnacentral:lncRNA from 1 species
AUGAUACCCUUUUUUGCCUAAGCCUCCCUUUUGGGUUUUCGACUUAGUGGGAUCUUUUUUUCUUUUGAUUUUUUUAGGCACAAUAUUUAUUUUAAAUUGUGUCAGAGUUCACGGGGAGUGAGAAAUCCUCUUCAUCGUUAUAAGAAUCAAACAUCCACCUUCUUUUCUAUAAGGUUCAAUUGGUCAAAUCUUGAUUGGAAC